GGCCUUGCGGUAAAGGAUAGGUUCAUGGGAUAUCAGCUAGUUGGUGUGGUAAUAGCGCACCAAGGCUAAGACGUCUAGGCGGAUUGAGAGAUUGACCGCCAACACUGGGACUGAGACACUGCCCAGACUCCUACGGGAGGCUGCAGUCGAGAAUCUUUCGCAAUGGGCGAAAGCCUGACGAAGCGACGCCGCGUGAGUGAUGAAGGCUUUAGGGUUGUAAAGCUCUUUCGCCAGGGAACAAGAGAGAGUUAGGAAUAAUCAAUCAAUUUGAGCGUACCAGGUAAAGAAGCACCGGCUAACUCCGUGCCAGCAGCUGCGGUAAUACGGAGGGUGCAAGCAUUAAUCGGAUUUAUUGGG
rnacentral:rRNA from 1 species